UGGUUGUAGCCAAAUCAAUGUCGAGAAGUUUACUGGCCGAUUGUCGUGAGAUCUGCGAUCUCCAUCGGCAUAUCCGCUUACCGAACUUCUCACACUU